AAGGUAGCGAAAUUCCUUGUCGGGUAAGUUCCGACCUGCACGAAUGGCGUAACGAUCUCCACACUGUCUCGGCCAGAGACUCGGUGAAAUUGAAGUCGCGGUGAAAAUGCCGUGUACCCGCAGAAAGACGGAAAGACCCUGUGCACCUUUACUAUAGCUUGACAUUGGAUUUUGGGCCUGCAUGUGUAGGAUAGGUGGGAGGCUGUGAACCCUGUACGCCAGUAUGGGGGGAGCCAUCCUUGAAAUACCACCCUUGCAUGUUUAAGAUCCUAACUUCUUCCGGUUAUCCCGGAGAAAGACAGUGUCUGGCGGGUAGUUUGACUGGGGCGGUCGCCUCCUAAAGUGUAACGGAGGCAUGCAAAGGUUCCCUCAGCCUGAUCGGAAACCAGGCGCUGAGUGCAAACGCAUAAGGGAGCUUGACUGUAAGAGAGACAUCUCGAACAGGAACGAAAGUUGGCGUUAGUGAUCCGGUGGUCCCGUAUGGAAGGGCCAUCGCUCAUUGGAUAAAAGGUACGCCGGGGAUAACAGGCUGAUCGCAUCCAAGAGUUCACAUCGACGAUGCGGUUUGGCACCUCGAUGUCGGCUCAUCACAUCCUGGGGCUGAAGCAGGUCCCAAGGGUACGGCUGUUCGCCGUUUAAAGUGGUACGCGAGCUGGGUUUAAAACGUCGUGAGACAGUUUGGUCCCUAUCUUCUGUGGGCGAAGGAGAAUUGAGAGGGCCUGUCCCUAGUACGAGAGGACCGGGAUGGACGCACCCCUGGUGAUCCUGUUGUCGCGCCAGCGGCAUAGCAGGGUAGCUAUGUGCGGAAGGGAUAACCGCUGAAAGCAUCUAAGCGGGAAGCCUGCCUCAAGAUAAGUUCUCCCCUCGAAAGAGCUGAAGGGCCCGGGUAGACUACCCGGUCGAUAGGCUGGAGGUGUAAGCGCGGCGACGUGCUCAGCUGACCAGUACUAAUAGCCCGAGCGGCUUAUUUUU
rnacentral:rRNA from 1 species